rnacentral:sRNA from 1 species
GCUAGGUGUGGUGGCUCAUGCCUGUAAUCCCAGUGGCUUGGGAGGCUGAGGCAGGAGGAUUGUGAGUUAAAAGCCAGCCUCAGCAAUUUAGUGAGGCCCUAAACAACUUAGCGAGACCCUGUCUCAA